AUACCUUUCUCGGCCUUUUGGCUAAGAUCAAGUGUAGUAUCUGUUCUUAUCAGUUUAAUAUCUGAUAUAUGUGGUCCAUUGGAUCACACAAUAUUAACUUUAUUUUUUAAGGGAAAACGUCUAUUUAAGAUAGCUUGCUAUCUAGGCUUUCAAGAGUAGCCUUUGUCUUGCACUACUGCAUGGGCUGGCUCAACCUAC
rfam:Brassica napus, WGS project CCCW01000000 data, contig: 10867